rnacentral:rRNA from 1 species
UCGGGAAUUUUGGGCAAUGGGCGAAAGCCUGACCCAGCAACGCCGCGUGAAGGAUGAAGUAUUUCGGUAUGUAAACUUCGAAAGAAUAGGAAGAAUAAAUGACGGUACUAUUUAUAAGGUCCGGCUAACUACGUGCCAGCAGCCGCGGUAAUACGUAGGGACCAAGCGUUGUUCGGAUUUACUGGGCGUAAAGGGCGCGUAGGCGGCAUGACAGGUCACUUGUGAAAUCUCUGGGCUUAACCCAGAACGGCCAAGUGAUACUGUCGCGCUAGAGUGCAGAAGGGGCAAUCGGAAUUCUUGGUGUAGCGGUGAAAUGCGUAGAUAUCAAGAGGAACACCUGAGGUGAAGACGGGUUGCUGGGCUGACACUGACGCUGAGGCGCGAAAGCCAGGGGAGCAAACGGGAUUAGAUACCCCCGUAGUCCCUGAGCGGGCUGGCAAGGCGCAU